rnacentral:rRNA from 1 species
UACGAAGGUCCCAAGCGUUGUUCGGAAUCACUGGGCGUAAAGGGUGCGUAGGCCGCGCGGAAAGUCAGAUGUGAAAGCCCCGGGCUCAACCCGGGAACCGCAUCCGAUACUCCCGCGCUAGAGGACUGGAGAGGAGUCUGGAAUUCACGGUGUAGCAGUGAAAUGCGUGGAUAUCGUGAGGAACACUCGUGGCGAAGGCGAGACUCUGGACAGUUCCUGACGCUGAGGCACGAAGGCCGGGGGAGCAAACAGG